AUGGCAAGAUUUUCUGAGAAAGUGCCCAAGCCCCAGAGAUCACACACAGCCACCUUCACAGUAUGCUCUCACUCACUAGCAGGUGAGCUGUCACCAAGGGCCGGGGACAGUGCUUCUGCUCAUGGACCAUGGGGACGGCAAUGUUCAAGACACAUGUGCAUACGUUCCUGUGUGCCAGAUUCUCAACCAGGAUCUGGCUCCCAGGAGGAGGUGCUCCAUCAGGGAGGAGGGAUCGACCUGGGAGAGCCCUGGCUGCCCUCUGGAAGCUGCUGGCCUGAGCAAGAAGCCUCACCCAAUGCACUUCCUGCAGCUUCUCCCCAGUGCUCUGGGAUUCCCCGUACCCCAACUGGCCUGGGGAGUAGACAGUCUUGCAUAUACAACCUAAUUCUGUCAACAGUGAGAUUGCAAAGCUACAGGAAUAGGACCUUCUGCUGUUAG
rnacentral:lncRNA from 1 species